rnacentral:tRNA from 1 species
UCCCUGGUAGUAUAUCGGUUAGUACACGCGCCUGUCAAGUUCGCCCGCGCGAAAGCGGGGUUCGACUCCCCGCCAGGGAG